GCCAGGCGUGGUGGCUCACGCCUGUAAUCCCAGCACUUUGGGAGGCCGAGGCAGGUGGAUCAUCUGAGGUCAGGAGUUUGAGACCAGCCUGGCCAACAUGGUGAAACCCUGUCUCUA
rfam:Homo sapiens chromosome 3, GRCh38 reference primary assembly.